AUACGUAGGGUGCGAGCGUUAAUCGGAAUUACUGGGCGUAAAGCGUGCGCAGGCGGCUUUGCAAGACAGAUGUGAAAUCCCCGGGCUCAACCUGGGAACUGCAUUUGUGACUGCAAGGCUAGAGUGCGGCAGAGGGAGAUGGAAUUCCGCGUGUAGCAGUGAAAUGCGUAGAUAUGCGGAGGAACACCGAUGGCGAAGGCAAUCUCCUGGGCCUGCACUGACGCUCAUGCACGAAAGCGUGGGGAGCAAACAGGAUUAGAUACCCUGGUAGUCCACGCCCUAAACGAUGUCAACUGGUUGUUGGACGGCUUGCUGUUCAGUAACGAAGCUAACGCGUGAAGUUGACCGCCUGGGGAGUACGGCCGCAAGGUUGAA
rnacentral:rRNA from 1 species